AUUGAACGCUGGCGGCAGGCCUAACACAUGCAAGUCGAGCGGAUGAAGGUAGCUUGCUCCUGGAUUCAGCGGCGGACGGGUGUGUAAUGCCUAGGAAUCUGCCUGGUAGUGUGUGAUAACGUCCGGAAACGGGCGCUAAUACCGCAUACUUCCUGAGGUAGAAAUUUGGGGAUCUUCGGACCUCACGCUAUCAUAUUAUCCUAGUUCGGAUUAGCUAGUUGGUUGGGUAACGGCCUACCAAGGCGACGAUCCGUAACUGGUCUGAGAGGAUGAUCAGUCACAGUGGAACUGAGACACGGACAAGACACCUACGGGAGGGAGCAGUGGGGAAUAUGGGAAAAUGGGCGAAAGCAUGAUACAGACAUGCCGAGGGUGUGAAGAAGGUGUUCGGAUUGUAAAGCACAUUAAGUUGGGAGGAAGGGAAGUAAGUUAAUACAUAGAUGUAGUGACGUUAACAAAAGAAGAAGCACCGGCUAACUACGUG
rnacentral:rRNA from 1 species